rnacentral:tRNA from 1 species
GGGGAUAUAGCUCACUUGGUAGAGCAUUUGCCUUGCAUGUACAAAGCCCUGGGUUCAAUCCUUUGCACCACCA